UGGGGAAUAUUGCACAAUGGGCGAAAGCCUGAUGCAGCAACGCCGCGUGAGCGAUGAAGGCCUUCGGGUCGUAAAGCUCUGUCCUCAAGGAAGAUAAUGACGGUACUUGAGGAGGAAGCCCCGGCUAACUACGUGCCAGCAGCCGCGGUAAUACGUAGGGGGCUAGCGUUAUCCGGAAUUACUGGGCGUAAAGGGAGUGUAGGUGGCCAUGCAAGUCAGAAGUGAAAAUCCGGGGCUCAACCCCGGAACUGCUUUUGAAACUGCCGUUCUUGAGAGUCGGAGAGGUAAAUGGAAUUCCCGGUGUAACGGUGGAAUGUGUAGAUAUCGGGAAGAACACCAAUGGCGAAGGCAGGUCUCUGGGCCGUUACUGACGCUGAGGAGCGAAAGCGUGGGGAGCGAACAGGAUUAGAUACCCUGGUAGUCCACGCCGUAAACGGUGGAUGCUGGAUGUGGGGCCCGUUCCACGGGUUCCGUGUCGGAGCUAACGCGUUAAGCAUCCCGCCUGGGGAGUACGGCCGCAAGGCUAAAACUCAAAGAAAUUGACGGGGACCCGCACAAGCGGUGGAGCAUGUGGUUUAAUUCGAAGCAACGCGAAGAACCUUACCAAGUCUUGACAUCGAUUCGACGGGAGUGUAAUGACUCCUUUCCCUUCGGGGACGAAGAAGACAGGUGGUGCAUGGUUGUCGUCAGCUCGUGUCGUGAGAUGUUGGGUUAAGUCCCGCAACGAGCGCAACCCUUAUCUUCAGUAGCCAGCGAGUAAGGUCGGGCACUCUGGAGAGACUGCCAGGGACAACCUGGAGGAAGGUGGGGAUGACGUCAAAUCAUCAUGCCCCUUAUGACUUGGGCUACACACGUGCUACAAUGGCGUAAACAAAGGGAAGCGAACCUGUGAGGGUGGGCAAAUCCCAAAAAUAACGUCUCAGUUCGGAUUGUAGUCUGCAACUCGACUACAUGAAGCUGGAAUCGCUAGUAAUCGCGGAUCAGAAUGCUGCGGUGAAUGCGUUCCC
rnacentral:rRNA from 1 species